UUUUCUGUCAUCUGAUGACUGAUGGCUCUUUGUACUGAUGGCCAAGUCAUAACUGAGGGUUAAAGCCAGGACUACUUCAGAUUAGUUUGUUCAAGGAAGAAGAUACAGCAUUAUUCAAACCAGUAAGAAGAGCUAAGUCUUCUCUUUCACCAGACUUAAUUUUUUUGGGAUCCUGUAGGAAAGAAGCUGAGAGUGAGUUCCCAGACCAUACCAAUGCAUGUCCUUCUGUUCGGUCCCAACUGCAGGCCACUUGAUGGACAAAGACACUGUACCUCCCCUUUGACUUCUUCACAUCCAUAUUGGCAAUUCACCAUGGCACAUGUCCUAGAACCUGAAAACAGUAUUUAAAAUACCAACAAGAGCAAAAAUCUAGGCUGGGUUCACACACUUAAAAAUUUAGUUUGAUCUGGAUAAGUGCAGAAAAUUAUUCAGAACAACAAAAUUCCACUCAUCAUCAAUCAAGCUGUUCAUACAUCAACACAUCAGUGAUACAAUUCAGGAAUCCAUGAGAUAGAUCUUAAAUUCACCUUCCCCCUUUUUUUUUUUUUUUCCUUCUUUGCCCUUACUCCUCCUUUUUUCUCUGCUCCUAUUUCGUGAGUUCUUACUACUACCUUAAAGAUUCAGAGUCAGAACUGCUUAAAGUAGAAAAAAAGUUUUUUGUAUUUGCCCUUCCAACAGUUUCACCAUAAAGAAAACUGUUCAGUAGUGAAUUGCAUUUAUUGCUUACCAUUAAACGUCUCCAGUAUAGAAUUUGAUUUUAAAAAGCUAUUUAGCCUGAUGAACUUAAAAACUGCCCUAUAGUUUGAUCCUUUAUGAAAUCUAAUGAGGCACUAGAAAAACGUAAGUCAUGGUUGCUACAGUUGGUUAGGAGUAUGAAAUAUUGGAGAUGACUUUUAUUAGCCUCUAAAGAGAAAUGCAGGCAUCUACAUCUUGUCUGGGAGACCUAUGAGAGGCUAGAAAAGUAGGAGAAACAUAAUAAAUACGUAGGGAGACAUUCCUGAAAUCCUGAAGAUAACCAGGAAGCAUUAGUGUUAUAAUGCCAGGGACUGAAGUGUUUAUUGGAAGAGAUGGAGGUGUGUGCAAAGAAAGUAUUUCUGGCUACUUCAUUCUGGUUGUGUUAGGGAAGCAGAAUUGUAUAUAGGAAAAGUGGAAAGCCUGGAACAGCUGACAGUUUAUUUCAGACAGAAACCAACUAUAAGAUCUUGAAACUAGCUCACCACUUAGGUAGAAAAUUAUAUAAAUUAUAUUUUGAAAUUCAAUGUGUUUAUUUGCAGAGGUACUAGCACAUUCAGAACAGUGUAUAAUAACAGAAUGUAUAGAAAAGACAACAUGUGCAGGUGCAUACAUAGCUACAGCCAUAUUAUUUCAUAUGAAUAAAAAAUCCAAUGCAGUUGUGUGUGAUUAAAAUUAAUGCAUUUAAUCUGUGAUAAAAUUAUUUUUCUUAAACCAGUUUGUUUAGACUAUGUGGCUAAGUUAUAAAUACUGAAGGCCAAGAAUUCAGUGUAUUUGCAAAUGCAUUUUACUUGUGUAUGAAUAAGAACAUACAAGAAACAAGAAUUUUAAAAAGAUUGACUGUAAACCAUAAUACUUUGUCAUCUACUUUGUCAUCAUCUACUUCCUAAAUGGUAAUAAAGAAACUUACUAGACUUUAUUAUUCUCUAA